AUGCCCCGCGGCGCUGCCAUGGCCGUGGGCGCGCUGUCCAGCUCGCUCCUGGUCACCUGCUGCCUGAUGGUGGCUCUGUGCAGCCCGAGCAUCCCGCUGGAGAAGCUGGCCCAGGCGCCCGCGCAGCCGGGCCAGGAGAAGCGCGAGCACGCGUCUCGGGACGGCCCGGGGCGGGUGGACGAGCUCGGGCGGCCCGCGAGGGACGAGGGCGGCGGCGGCCGCGACUGGAAGAGCAGGGGCGGCCGCGGGCUGGCCGGCCGGGACGCGUGGAGCAGGCAGAAGCAGGCCUGGGCCGCCCAGGGCGCGGGCGCCAAGGCCGGGGACCUGCAGGGCCGGGCGCGCGGGGACACCCCGCAGGGGGAGCCCCCGGCCCCCGCCGCGCAGGACGCCGCCCGCGCCGACCCGGCGCCCACGCCCGAGCCGCCCGAGGAGUACGCGUACCCGGACUACCGCGGCAAGGGCUGCGUGGACGAGAGCGGCUUCGUGUACGCCAUCGGGGAGAAGUUCGCGCCGGGCCCCUCGGCCUGCCCCUGCCUGUGCACCGAGGAGGGGCCGCUGUGCGCGCAGCCCGAGUGCCCGCGCCUGCACCCGCGCUGCAUCCACGUCGACACGAGCCAGUGCUGCCCGCAGUGCAAGGAGAGGAAGAACUACUGCGAGUUCCGGGGCAGGACCUACCAGACUCUGGAGGAGUUCGUGGUGUCUCCGUGCGAGCGCUGCCGCUGCGAGGCCAGCGGGGAGGUGCUGUGCACAGUGUCCGCCUGUCCGCAGACGGAGUGCGUGGACCCCGUGUACGAGCCGGACCAGUGCUGCCCCAUCUGCAAGAACGGCCCAAACUGCUUUGCAGAAACCGCGGUCAUCCCGGCCGGAAGAGAGGUCAAGACUGAUGAAUGUACCAUAUGUCACUGUACUUACGAGGAGGGGACGUGGAGGAUCGAGAGGCAGGCCAUGUGUACGAGGCACGAGUGCCGGCAGAUGUAGAAACGGGACCAUAAAAAAACAGACGUUUUUCUAGAACCUUUUACGGAUGGGAACCUUCCAGAGGACCCUGGGGAGCAUCCUUCAAUGGGAGGAGACUUCGGAUGAGGAACGUGGAAGGUGGGCGGCGCUUCUGCGAUCCUUGCUCCCCCGAGAGAAAGAAAUGGGUACAUUUCAAAACGUCCACGAGAACUCGGGGCAUGAGCCCCCUCUCUAAAUAAAUGUGCUAUUUUCACAAUACAGAUUAAAAAUGCCGUGUUGUCAACCGUCCUCACUGUGUACCUGCCUGUCGCCUCCAGUUCGGGUUCUGUCCGCGAGCUCGGUGGCGGCUGCCGACGCUGCUUCUCUUGCGGGGCCGACGCCCGCCCGUCGAUGCACCACGAGGCACGGGACCCUGAGAUCCGGCCCCGUCCCGUUCCAUCACAGAGACAGGCCUCGUGUCUGUCCUUAGAGACCCAGCACGUCAGUAGCUUGCCUUCCCAGUGACGACCCCCUGCCUUUACCGUCCCCGCUCCCAGGUGCUGGGAGAUGCGGGGACAGAGAUAUGUGGUGUUCAGGGCCCCAGAGCGACCCAGACGUGUACCCCCCGCCCAUGCACACUUCUUUCUCUCCUAAGCCCCCCGUGGGCCUCGCAGCAGGGGAUGAUGACGUAGGCACCGUGGCUCCAGAAGCUGCAGCGGGUGGGCCCGGCUGGGUGCAGGGCCCCCGCCAUCCACGCAGCGGACUCAGGCUUCUUGCUGGAAGGACCAGCCACCCUCCGGAAGAGACCGGGUAACAUCUGAAGGGCCUCCCCGCGUGAGCCACACUCGGGGAGCAGAGAGGGGACAGAGGGAGCCCCUGUGCGCUGCUCCUUCGGUUGCUUACCUGUGAUCCCACAUGGAUUUUCUUUCUCUUCGCUUGGACAGGGAAUUAAAAAAGCCACUGCAAAUAUCCUGAUCUCUGGUCCCCGUGUCCUAGAGAAUAUUUCUGCCUUUAGCAACCUCGUUGACACCUGGCACACUGAUGAGGAAGGGCGCUGGUCUUGACAGGUGUGCGGGGAGACAUGAUUAUAAUCGCUAUUUGACUCCUUAUAGGUUUUUCUGCCAUAUUUUUAUUUACUUCAAAAUUUUGAAUUGAGCACCUAUUAAGUAGCAACCAUUGGAUGAUCAAAAAAAGGGGGGGGAUAGAGCAUGGUUUCUCGCCUUCAUGGGCCUUUGGCCUAACAUGAGUAAGAACUGAGAGUGCCUUGGGGCAGCAGGUCAGUCCGUCAGCAAAGAGGCUGGAAAGCUGUCCUGAGAAGAGCAAGGAAUACGGAAACACUGAAAUCGUUCACUCAUUAAAGGUCAACUAAUCAAGAAAAAUGGAUAUAGUUGUCGUUAUUGAAAACGUGAACCACUGUGUACCUUAAUACAUGGACAGCCGGCAUUAGCGGAAGCUUCCAGAACUUUCCACAUGCUCACAGUCUGUGUGCAUCUUGUUUAUCAAGAACACGUUGGGCCAAACGGGCUCCAUGCGCCUAGAGUUUUGAGAAAAUCCUCAGGGGAAGGAUUAGCAAGUAGCUUUGGAAAACUGAACAUUUGGCAGUAAAGGCUCCUCGAUGUCGGCCAUCGUCACUCUAUUAUCCCAAGGUAGAUUUUAUUUUAUUUUUUUUUUUGAGACCAGGUUAUGCAAGUGAUGGUUUUGCCAACAGUGGGCUCUCCUUCCCCCGGGGCGGGAGGUGGGUCAUUAGCUGUCCUAACAGGACACCUGGUGUCAUGCGCCUUUCAACUAGUGGAUGCACUAAACACAUCUCACUGCUUAAAAUCAAACAUCAAGAUAGAAGACACCUGAAUUGUCUGAAAUUGGAUUUUUUAGACAUUGCAUGCACAUAACGAUUGUGUUGGGGGGACGGAGAAGCGUUUCUUAAACAUACGAUGCUGUAGGUCUCACAGCGUGUGAGCACGUAUCUCUGAGACGCCGUUGGACGGCGCACGGGAGAUGGUCCACACCAGCUUAGCCAAAACUUGAGAGCUCACCUCUAUUAUUUUUGAACUUACGGAAAACAGAAUUAUAGACACAAGCUGAACCUAACAAAUAUUAACAGUUUAUUAUAUUUGCCUUAACAGGCAAGAGAUCAAGCCUACUGUUACUAUUAAGUCUUUAAAAAUCAGAUGCUUUUCUGCAACGCAAUAGGGAGCGGUGAGGGCACCUGGCUGGCUGUCGGUGGAGCACACGACUCUUGAUCUCGGGGUCACGAGCUCGAGCCCCACACUGAGGGUGGAGGUUACGUAAGCAAUUCAGGAAGGGUGACCAGGUGCCCCCCAUCCGUGCGAGGAGGCCGGCCACAUCGUUGGCCCGUGUAACCUGACCUGAUGUUGCAGGCCGCCCGCCCGCCGGCUGUUUGGUGCUGCAGGCUGUGCGGGGCAGGUGCGUGCUCUCCUGCAGAGACCGCCGCUCACCCGUGGGGUGAAGGCCUCCGAGCCAUGCCACGUCCCACCUCCGGGGCCCCCUGGCUCACCCCCCUGCCCCGCAGCUUCCAGUCCGCCAGGCUUACCUCCCGGACACAGGGCGUCUGUGCCCCCGAGCUGGGCCGAGCUCCCCGCGGGCGGCCUGGCAUCUUCAGGGUUCCCCGCAGCCUCCCACUGCCAUCGGGCCUGGGCCUCACCACGCCCUGAACCAGCCCCUGCCUCUCAGCCCUGGGGGCCCAAGGACUGUCCCGCGGCGCCUCCGCCGUGCCACCCAUUUGGUAUUUGACGCUCGCACGGUUUAACGAUUUAGAGACCACAUCAUACUUCUCAUCACCCGCUUUGUCUGUUUGCUCUCUUAUUUAUCCUAAAAUCUCCUUAUUUCAGGCCGUGGAACAUUUGGUCCCUGGAAGGUCAUCCAACGCCCUUAUGUUAAAGGCGUGUUGAGUCGUAGUCAGUAUAUUAACCCAGAGUCCUCUGCUGUCCGCGUGUGAGGCCAGCAGCUGUUCUGAAGAGCAGCCCAAGCUCCGGGGGCUGUUGGCCUUCCGCUGUCACUGCUGUCGCUGUCGCAUGCUUUCUCGGGUGACUUGCAAAUCUCCAUGUCAGGGGACGGCAACCUGACCGGGACCAAACCCCACCAGCCCUUUUUGAUGCAAGUCAGGAAACAAAUCGCUUUUGGUGCGAAAUUUCUGAUGGUGGAAAUAAUUUCUUACAUCGAGGUCCUUAGUGACGGUUAAACAAGUGGAGUUUACAGCUUUGGUCUUUGCCGUAUUUACUUACCUAGUUUCAACUUUCAGAAUAUAAACUUCCUGUCUUAGACCUUCACAGUCCAGUGUGUAUGCAGACUUUCAUCUGCACACAUAACAUAGUCACUCGAUGGGUGUCGAAUAAGGUAAUUGGGUCAUUUCUGCAGAAACACACAUUUCCAGAGGCCAUUGGAAAAGUGUUGGGAGGUGGUGCUUGUCUAUGUUCCACCAGAUGCCGACGUUCACUCAAGAGGUUUGCAGAGCACGUGGUGUUUUUUUUGUACACCUAAUUUUUAUUUUUAUUAUUUUUUUUACAUUUUUAUUUUACUUCCAAUUAGUUAACUACGGUAUUAUUUUGUUUCAGGUGUACAAUACAGUGAUUUAACAAUUCUAUGCAUCACCUGGUGCUCAUGACAACAGGUGCACUCCUCCAUCCCCACCCCUGCCCACCUCCCCUCUGGUGACCAGCAGUGUGUUCUCUAGAGCAAAGAGUCUGUCCCUUGCUUUGCCUCUCUCUUUUUCCCUUUUGCUCAUUUGUUUUCUUAAACUCCACACAUGACUAAAAUCCUAUGGUAUUUGUUUUUCUCUGAGUUGUUUUGCUUAACAUUUUACUCUCUAGAUCCACUUAUGUUGUUGUAAAUGGCAGGAAAGGCAGGAUUUCACUUUUUUAAGGGUGAGGAAUAUAUAUUUUCCAACCAUAUAUAUAUAUGUUCCAUAUAUAUACACGUAUAUAUAUAUAUAUAUGUGUGUGUGUGUAUAUAUAUAUAUAUAUACACACACACACAUACCGCAUCCUCUUUAUCCACCCAUCAGGUGAUGGGCUGCCUCCAUAAUUUGGCUAUUGUAGAUAAUGCUACUAUUUGGAUGUAGUAGUCCCAGUAGUUCAUUUUUUAUUGUUUCCCUUGCCUCAAGAGUCAUCUCUAGAAAGAAAAAUUGCUAU